CCUACGGGAGGCAGCAGUAGGGAAUCUUCCACAAUGGGCGAAAGCCUGAUGGAGCAACGCCGCGUGGGUGAAGAAGGUCUUCGGAUCGUAAAACCCUGUUGUCAGAGAAGAAAGUGCGUGAGAGUAACUGUUCACGUUUCGACGGUACCUAACCAGAAAGCGAUGGCUAACUACGUGCCAGCAGCCGCGGUAAUACGUAGGUGGCAAGCGUUAUCCGGAUUUAUUGGGCGUAAAGGGAACGCAGGCGGGCUUGUAAGGCUGGUGUGAAAGCCUUCGGCUUAACCGGAGUAGCGCAUUGGAAACUGGGAGACUUGAGUGCAGGAGAGGAAAGUGGAACUCCAUGUGUAGCGGUGAAAUGCGUAGAUAUAUGGAAGAACACCAGUGGCGAAGGCAGCUCUCUGGUCUGUAACUGACGCUGAGGUUCGAAAGCGUGGGUAGCAAACAGGAUUAGAUACCCUUGUAGUC
rnacentral:rRNA from 1 species